GGCGAGUGAAGCGGCAACAGCACAAAUUUGAAAGCUGGCCUUCGGGUCCGCAUUGUAAUUUGUAGAGGAUGCUUUGGGUGAAACGCCAGUCUAAGUUCCUUGGAACAGGACGUCAUAGAGGGUGAGAAUCCCGUAUGUGACUGGAAAUGUUAACCUAUGUAAAGCUCCUUCGACGAGUCGAGUUGUUUGGGAAUGCAGCUCUAAAUGGGAGGUAAAUUUCUUCUAAAGCUAAAUAUUGGCGAGAGACCGAUAGCGCACAAGUAGAGUGAUGCAAAGAUGAAAGCACUUUGGAAAGAGAGUUAAAAAGCACGUGAAAUUGUUGAAAGGGAAGCGCUUGCAAUCAGACUUGUUUAAACUGUUCGGCCGGUCUUCUGACCGGUUUACUCAGUUUGGACAGGCCAGCAUCAGUUUCGGCGGCCGGAUAAAGGCUCUGGGAAUGUGGCCUUCACUUCGGUGAAGGUGUUAUAGCCCAGGGUGUAAUACGGCCAGCCGGGACUGAGGUCCGCGC
rnacentral:rRNA from 1 species